AGCGAACGCUGGCGGCGUGCCUAACACAUGCAAGUCGAGCGAACCGUUUGGGGAAACUCGGACGGUUAGCGGCGGACGGGUGAGUAACACGUGGGUAACCCACCUAGGGGACCGGGAUAA
rnacentral:rRNA from 1 species